rnacentral:lncRNA from 1 species
UCAUGCAACCUACGUGAGUUAGUGCACGCAGGGUUUAUAACCUACAUGAGUUAACUCACGUAUGAUUUAUAACCAGCGUGAGUUAACUCACGCAGCGUGACUUAAGUCACACAGAAGUAUUGUUGUCAUUUCAGUUGGGAAUGAGCAAUUUUGAUUGGGAGAAGAGCAGAAUUUAUGCCUAUGGCCGGCCCUGGUAGCAAAAGUAUGGAGGAGAAGUUAAAAGUUGAUUACACGAAUGCAGCUUUGUUUGGAAGCCAUCAAACACCAGAAUUCGAAAACCAUAAGAAACUUGUAAAAAGUAGUUCGAAAGACAUAUGACAUGCAUGUAAACUUAAGUUGCUUUUAUUCAUUUUAUUAAUGAUAUUUGUUCUCCAUAUUUAGGAGUUCAUCUACGUACUUGUCUAAUAAAUUACACAUUUACUAGUUGUUGAUCGAGCGAAUGAUGUAGCUAAAUUAUAUCUAUAAGAAUACCAUUAUAUUUCACUUUUGUUGCUACUUUUCUAUAUUUUUUAGGUUAAAUUAAUCAAAUGAUCCCUCAACUAAUUUCGAGUUUUCGUUUUGGUCCCAUAACUCUUAAAAUCAUCAUUUUGGUCUCUUAACUUUUGCUCUGUUACUCAAAUUGAUCCACUCCGUUAGUUUGUUAAUGUCUAAAUUUUUUGAUUUGAUUUUAACCGUUUGAUUGCAUGUCCAUUGUAUCUAUAGUGAACCGUCAGCACCUAAUUUUUUUUAUUUUUCAUCAUCUUCUCUCUUCUUCUUCCUCAAUCUAUAUCAACAUUUUCCCAGAACCGGAACGAACCUCACGAACGGAGCAAGACUACAAAGCAACGCCAUAAAACCUUCAAAGCAAGAAGAGAAACCACGCUGAACAAACAAAGAGAAGAAACUGAUAAAACCUGCGCAGUGAAAAGCUAGAAAGGUAAGCUUCAAGAUCUGGAGAAUCGACCGAAAUUGGAGAACAAUCGGAGGAGAGAGGUGCGAAUCUAAGCAGUUACGGAGGAGAAUGGAGCAAAACCAACGCCGGAAGGAGAAGAAAGGUCUCCUGUGCGAAUCUGUCCAUCAAUUUUCUCUUCAAAACUGAUCUCCCUUCCACGAAAGGGUCGUUCUCCGUUGCGCCACGCCGCCGUCAUGCACCACCACCAUUCCUAUAGUUUUCGCCCAUCCCUUCAGCGUCGCCCUGCACCUCUGUUCUUAUCUUGGUUUGUUCAUAAUUUGGAUUUGAUACUCUGUUGUUUCUAGUUACUAUUGUAUUGAAUGUUUGAAGAAAGAAUAUUGAUGGAGACCCUAGAAAGAAGAAGAAGAAGCUCAGAUUGAAGAAGAAGAAUAUUGAUGUAUUGAAUGUUUUAAGGAGUGUUUUAGCCUUGUGGUAUAAUUAAAAGAAAGUUAAAUGGGUAUCAACAUUGACGAGAAUGAAAAUCAAUUCAAUGGGUUAUGAUUUUCUAAAUUAUUUUCUCUAUCUCUAAAAUUCAUUCAUGUUCUAACUCAGAAUCAUGUUGACAGAGAAAAUUGAGAUGAAUAUCAUAUAUGAAUUUACUUAGGUUUUUUUUUCUUUCUUCCUAGGUUGUUGUGAUGAAUAAUGAAUAUAUGAUGAUAAAGAUGAAGAAAAGCUGGAGGAAAGAG